UACGGAAAGCAGCAGUGGGGAAUAUUGCACAAUGGGCGCAAGCCUGAUGCAGCCAUGCCGCGUGUAUGAAGAAGGCCUUCGGGUUGUAAAGUACUUUCAGUCGUGAGGAAGGUGUUAAGGUUAAUAACCUUAGCAAUUGACGUUAGCGACAGAAGAAGCACCGGCUAACUCCGUGCCAGCAGCCGCGGUAAUACGGAGGGUGCGAGCGUUAAUCGGAAUUACUGGGCGUAAAGGGCACGCAGGCGGUUAAUUAAGUUGGAUGUGAAAUCCCCGGGCUUAACCUGGGAAUGGCAUUCAAGACUGGUUAGCUAGAGUCUUGUAGAGGGGGUAGAAUUCCAUGUGUAGCGGUGAAAUGCGUAGAGAUGUGGAGGAAUACCGGUGGCGAAGGCGGCCCCUGGGACAAAGACUGACGCUCA
rnacentral:rRNA from 1 species